AAAUUACUCCCUCCAUCCGAAAAUACUUGUCAUCAAAAUGGAUAAAAGAGGAUGUAUCUAGACGUAUUUUAGUUUUAGAUACAUCUCUUUUUAUCCAUUUUGAUGACAAGUAUUUUCGGACGGAGGGAGUACAAU
rnacentral:pre_miRNA from 1 species